rnacentral:rRNA from 1 species
UUAGAUUUUAUUUAUUAAUUUUGUUUAUUUGUGUUUAAAAUAUUAAAAAUAAUUGUAAAAUAAAAAUGUUUUAGUAUUGUUUAAAGAAAAAAUAAAUUUAAUAAUAGUUUAAUAGUAUUGUAAAAGAAAAUUGAAAUAAUUUGAAAAAUUUUUAUUUAAAAAAGAAAAUUUAAUUUAUUGUACCUU